rnacentral:rRNA from 1 species
GAUGAACGCUGGCGGCGUGCCUAAUACAUGCAAGUCGAGCGAACGGACGAGAAGCUUGCUUUUCUGAUGUUAGCGGCGGACGGGUGAGUAACACGUGGAUAACCUACCUAUAAGACUGGGAUAACUUCGGGAAGCCGGAGCUAAUACCGGAUAAUAUUUUGAACCGCAUGGUUCAAAAGUGAAAGACGGUCUUGCUGUCACUUAUAGAUGGAUCCGCGCUGCAUUAGCUAGUUGGUAAGGUAACGGCUUACCAAGGCAACGAUGCAUAGCCGACCUGAGAGGGGGAUCGGCCAAACGGGAACUGAGACACGGUCAAGACUCCGACGGGAGGAAGCAGUAGGGAAUCUUCCGCAAUGGGCGAAAGCCUGACGGAGCAACGCCGCGUGAGUGAUGAAGGUCUUCGGAUCGUAAAACUCUGUUAUUAGGGAAGAACAUAUGUGUAAGUAACUGUGAACAUCUUGACGGUACCUAAUCAGAAAGCCACGGCUAACUACG